rnacentral:rRNA from 1 species
AUUGAACGCUGGCGGCAGGCCUAACACAUGCAAGUCGAACGAGUGGCGGACGGGUGAGUAAUGUCUGGGAAACUGCCUGAUGGAGGGGGAUAACUACUGGAAACGGUAGCUAAUACCGCAUACCAUCAGAUGUGCCCAGAUGGGAUUAGCGAGUUGGGGGGGUAACGGCUCACCAAGGCGACGAUCCCUAGCUGGUCUGAGAGGUUGACGAGCCACACUGGAGUGGAGACCCGGCCCAUAUUCCUACGCGAGUCAGCAGGGGGGAAUAUUGCACAAUGGGCGCAAUCCUGAUGCAGCCAUGCCGCGUGUAUGAAGAAGGCCUUCGGGUUGUAAAGUACUUUCAGCGGGGAGGCGUUACCCGCAGAAGAAGCACCGGCUAACUCCGGGCCAGCAGCCGCGGUAAUUC